ACUCCUACGGGAGGCAGCAGUGGGGAAUAUUGCACAAUGGGCGGAAGCCUGAUGCAGCGACGCCGCGUGGGGGAUGACGGCCUUCGGGUUGUAAACCUCUUUCAGCUCUGACGAAGCGUAAGUGACGGUAGGAGCAGAAGAAGCGCCGGCCAACUACGUGCCAGCAGCCGCGGUAAGACGUAGGGCGCGAGCGUUGUCCGGAUUUAUUGGGCGUAAAGAGCUCGUAGGCGGCUUGUCGCGUCGUCUGUGAAAACCCGCGGCUCAACUGCGGGCUUGCAGUCGAUACGGGCAGGCUGGAGUUCGGUAGGGGAGACUGGAAUUCCUGGUGUAGCGGUGAAAUGCGCAGAUAUCAGGAGGAACACCGGUGGCGAAGGCGGGUCUCUGGGCCGAUACUGACGCUGAGGAGCGAAAGCGUGGGGAGCGAACAGGAUUAGAUACCCUGGUAG
rnacentral:rRNA from 1 species